rnacentral:rRNA from 1 species
AACGAACGCUGGCGGCAUGCCUAACACAUGCAAGUCGAACGAGACCUUCGGGUCUGGUGGCUCACGGGUGCGUAACGUGUGGGAACCUGCCCUUAGGUUCGGAAUAACUCCCCGACAGGGGUGCUAAUACCGGAUAAUGUCUUCGGACCAAAGAUUUAUCGCCUUUGGAUGGGCCCGCGUUGGAUUAGCUAGUUGGUAGGGUAAAAGCCUACCAAGGCGACGAUACAUAGCUGGUCUGAGAGGAUGAUCAGCCACACUGGGACUGAGACACGGCCCAGACUCCUACGGGAGGCAGCAGUGGGGAAUAUUGGACUACGGGCUAAAGCCUGAUCCAGCUCUGCCGCGUGAGUGAUGAAGGCCGUAGGGUUGUACAGCCCUUUUACCCGGGAUGAUAAUGACAGUACCGGAAGAAUAAGCUCCGGCUAACUCCGUG